GGGACACUCACGAGGGUGUCUCCAGUGCACGGCGCGCCUCCUCUUUGGCCAAGACUUCAGACAUCAUGUAUAGGUGCCCAGGAAGCAGGGUCAAGUCGGUCGGGACACGGAGCUGAGGGGCGAUCGAGGGACAGUGACUGCACCUGGCCAGCCGGGAAUGGACGGCUGUGCCCAAGUCACAGAGUGGCAAAUUGAGGCCAGAGCUCAGAGCAAUGAACUCUGACACCUUAGAGGGCAAAGAGGGCUUCGAGAGGGUUGCAGAGGAGUGUUGCAUGAGAGUAGAUGCGUGAGCCACCACGCCUGGCCAAUGUCAGCUAAUUUUUAAAAACUUAGCACUCUGU
rnacentral:lncRNA from 10 species